AAAGUUUAUUUUAAUUUAAAUUUUUAAUUAAAUUAUAAUUAAAAUAAAAAAUUGAAAAAAAUCAAUCGCUUUCAACGCGGCCGACGGUGGCCAGCCCAGUUGGUAUACGUGAUAGCAUCUUUUUGUUCUUUUGCAUGGUAUGGCCUUGCCAUUAAUCGUUUCAGGUGUACUCUGACAACGGAAUUAAUAGUUUAGACACUUGUACGUUAGAAGAAACAUUGAAUUCAAUAUUUUUUCUAUCUACCUGUUUUUAAUUUGCAAGAUCCUUUACGAGAGCCGAAGCAACAACGGAGGCCAAAGUUGGCAAUCAAGAGAAGCGGAACACGACGUCGUUCUGUGUCCAAAAACUAUCUUAUUCUUCUUACAUCAAGCCGAGAAGACGAAAGCUCUAGGAUAACUGUAAAUGGGAAUUUUUCGCAACUGUAGUAUAUUACAGCUGGUGUAGGAAAAAAAUUUUCCUGAAUCUCACUGACCCGUAGGCAUGACCACAAUUUGUUUGAUCUGAUGUGACAGAAAUCAGAAAAGCUAGCCAUGCAUGCAUAGACUAGUGCUGUGAGUCAGAAUCGGGUAAUGUCCCAUUUAUGCUGCUAUUCAUGAUCUCAACUAGAAAGAAUUGAUAUUUUUCCAACCGCGUAACAAGAUUUGUCUCUCUGUGUGAGCAACAAACUACUAAAUUACAUAGAUAUUGUACUGUGAUAACAUGACAACCACCAUAG
rnacentral:misc_RNA from 1 species